rnacentral:tRNA from 1 species
GCUGGCUUAGCUCAAUGGUAGAGCAUCCGCCUUGUAAGCGGACGGUUGAGGGUUCAAGUCCUUUAGCCAGCA